rnacentral:rRNA from 1 species
UACGUAGGGGGCUAGCGUUGUCCGGAAUCAUUGGGCGUAAAGAGCGUGUAGGCGGCUCGGUAAGUCCGCUGUGAAAGUCGGGGGCUCAACCCUCGAAUGCCGGUGGAUACUGUCGAGCUAGAGUGCGGAAGAGGCGAGUGGAAUUCCCGGUGUAGCGGUGAAAUGCGCAGAUAUCGGGAGGAACACCAAUGGCGAAGGCAGCUCGCUGGGACGGUACUGACGCUGAGACGCGAAAGCGUGGGGAGCAAACAGG